rnacentral:lncRNA from 1 species
GCUUUGCUUUCCAGCGAGCUAAUCUGCUGACACUUUCCUUCAAAAUUAAUUGUAUUUAGUUGGUCAGGUUCUGAAAAGACAAGGGCGACCUGUUUAUGAGGGCGUGAAGUUUGUCACAGUGGUUGUGCAACUGUGGAGGAAACGCAUCCUAGGUGUGGGGACAGCAGAGCAGCUGACCUUUCAUUUCAACAUACCUGCAGGAAGCCCUAGAAAGCCUGGGCCUGCCACAUGCAAAACUACUUACUGGGAUUCCUUAGAACAAUUCCACUGAAUGGAAAGUGUGACCAGACCACCUGAGUGAUACCUGGCUCAUCCUCCACGUUAGAUGUGCUCACAUAUAUUCAAAAUAAAAAAGUUACAAAACUAGUCAGCACCAGAAGAAAGUAUACGGCUGCACCAGAGGAAUUUUGGACGUUUACCAAUGUUGCUUUUCAGCUGCUUCAUCCCCAUUGCUCUUCUGUCCUACACGUGAGAGGCCAGCACUGGUGGUGUAAAUUCUGCCCUGGGGUCCUACUGCUUGUUCUCCAGGUACCAUGGAUUCAAAGCUGACAGGAUCUGGAGCCAUCCUGAGAAUCACCUGCUGAUCAGCAAGGAGACAGGCACCAAGUAGCUCAGCUCCAACUGAUGUGAUAGCUGUACCCUAUCCAGUCAUCAGUUGAAACCCACUGGAGUUUCAAAGGGCCUGGAGUUGGGUUUAUUAAGCCCAUUAUCAUCAAGGUAUGCUGGAUUAUAUAUAGAAUUCAAAUUUUUCUCUAAUAAGAUACUCUUUAUGUGUCAAGAGUUAUUAAAUAUUUCCAUGUUAUGAGAAGACUGUGAAUGUUUUUGUUUACCAGCACUUUGAUUAGCAGGCUUAUGGGCAGUUGUACGGAUACUACAGGUGAGAUACAGCUUAUUUAUACUAUUUUUAGAAGAGUUUUGAUUGGAUAUUGAAAUGUUUUCAGUUCUGUGAUUUAAAGAAAAUAUUUCUUUUGCUGGACUUCAUACUCACAGGGAAUUAGCAUAAAAUUUUGUUUCAAUAGUAUGAACAAUUAAUUUGGUGAAACAUUACUUUUCACAUCACUGAUUCCUCUGCCAUUUUCCUUAGAAGUGCACCAACUGUUGAACUUAAAAAUAAGCCAUUAACAACUUCAGUAAGUGGAAUCUAUGCCCGUAUGACAACUGAUAGCAAUUUCAGCAUCCUCCUUGUUUUCAAAGAACAUUUCUGAUGUAAAAUAAGACUGUAGAACUCAUAAAGUAUUGGAAAUUCAUUGUAGAGUGUAAUUAUCUGACUUCUAAUAAUUACCAAGAAAUGCGUGUAUGGACUUGAAAUUUAUAUUACUAAUUGAAUAAAUAAGAAC